rnacentral:rRNA from 1 species
UACGGGGGGAGCAAGCGUUGUUCGGAUUUACUGGGCGUAAAGGGCGCGUAGGCGGCCAGCACAAGUCAGUUGUGAAAUCUCCGAGCUUAACUCGGAAAGGUCAACUGAUACUGUGCGGCUAGAGUGCAGAAGGGGCAACUGGAAUUCUUGGUGUAGCGGUGAAAUGCGUAGAUAUCAAGAGGAACACCUGCGGCGAAGGCGGGUUGCUGGGCUGACACUGACGCUGAGGCGCGAAAGCCAGGGGAGCGAACGGG